AAAUAAACUAAGCUAAAGUGUAAUUAAGUGAGCUGAAUCUAAGGUAUCAUUAAGUGAGCUAAGUUAAAGUGCAACUAAAGGAAACUAAACCUAAAAAAUGGAUCUAAGUGAAUUAAGUUAAGGUGUCACUAAGUGAGCUAAGAUAAAGUACAACUAAAUGAGUUGAACCUAAAGUGCAACUAAAUGAGUCGAACCUAAAGUGCAACUAAAUGAGCUAAGCUAAGGUGUUACUAAGUGAGCUGAGUUAAGGUACAACUAAGUGAAUUAAACCCAAAAAUGUGUGAGCUAAAUUAGAGUGUCACUAUGUGAGCUAAGGUAAAGUGCAAUUAAAUGAGCUAAACCUAAAAU
rnacentral:lncRNA from 1 species